rnacentral:rRNA from 1 species
GAUGAACGCUGGCGGCGUGCCUAAUACAUGCAAGUCGAGCGAACGGACGAGAAGCUUGCUUCUCUGAUGUUAGCGGCGGACGGGUGAGUAACACGUGGAUAACCUACCUAUAAGACUGGGAUAACUUCGGGUAACCGGAGCUAAUACCGGAUGAUAUUUUGAACCGCAUGGUUCAAAAGUGAAAGACGGUCUUGCUGUCACUUAUAGAUGGAUCCGCGCUGCAUUAGCUAGUUGGUAAGGUAACGGCUUACCAAGGCAACGAUGCAUAGCCGACCUGAGAGGGUGAUCGGCCACACUGGAACUGAGACACGGUCCAGACCCCUACGGGAGGCAGCAGUAGGGAAUCUUCCGCAAUGGGCGAAAGCCUGACGGAGCAACGCCGCGUGAGUGAUGAAGGUCUUCGGUUCGUAAAACUCUGUUAUUAGGGAAGAACAUAUGUGUAAGUAACUGUGCACAUCUUGACGGUACCUAAUCAGAAAGCCACGGCUAACUACGU